GUGGUUGGCGGUGGUUGGAGGUGGUCGGAGGUGGUCGGAGGUGGACGAGGAGGAGGACGAGGAAGAUGAGGAGAACGAGGAUUUCUGCAUGGUAUAACCCAAGGUGGUUAUCGAUGGUUACUGGAGGUGGUUGGCGGUGGCUGGAGGUGUUCGGAGGUGGACGAGGAGGAGAACGAGGAAGACGAGGAAACCAAGGUGGACGAGGAUGAUGAGGAUUUGUGCACUGUAUAACCCGAGGUGGUUGGCGGUGGUUGGCGGUGGUCGAGCUGGACGAGGUGGAGGACGAGGAUUCGUGCUCGGUGAGUUUAACAUUUUGACAAUAUUUGAUGAAGUAGAAUCAGCAUCAGGAGUAGGAUCAGGGGAAGAUGUAGAAAUAGGAGUAGAAGUAGGAGUAGUGGUAGGAAUAGGACUUGGAGUAAGAAUAUGAGUAGAAGUAGGAAUAGUAGGAGUUGGAGUGGGAUUAGGAG
rnacentral:lncRNA from 1 species